CGACUCGCAGCCGCAGCCCCGCGCCGGGGCUCUUUGUUGGCGGCCGGCCGGCUGCUUCCCAUUAAUCUCCCGCACUGGCCGUGGCCGUCCCCACUUCCUGCCUUCGCAUACUUCUCUCUCCCUCGAUCUCAAUCCCUUCCCUCCUCCUUCCCUUCCUCCCUGCCCCCUCCCCUCCUUUCCCUCUCCUCGGCUCCUCCGAAAAAGCUACAGCCUCCCGUGCUGCGGGACGGGGUUUGCAGGCGUCGGCAGCUCUCCCCUGCGCGCCUCGGUAAGAGCCGGGAGCCGCGCCGCCGGCUCGGACGGGUCCCCGGGAGAGGCGGGCAGGGCAGCGGGGCAGAGGGAGAAGCCGCCGCCCGGCGCCGGGCUCGGCGUGCCGACGGCCGCCCGCCUCCCGUUGCGGGGCGGGCCGGGAUACGCGGCGGGCUGGCGGGGCGGCGGGGGCUCCCGGGGCGGCCUCAGCUCGGCACCGCCGUGCCCCGGGGCCGGUUCCUCUUCCCGUGGGUGGCGGAGCCCGGCAGAGCACCGCGGUGGGAUCGAGCUGACGGAGCGGGCCGGCGAAGCAGCCCGCCGGGUUUGGGGCUCGGGUGUGCGUAGAGAAGGGGAGCCCGGUACUUCUCCCCCAGCGCCCGCUCGCGUCGGCUGUCCGGCCGGCUGUAAUGUCUGCACGCUCACUGAAAAGAGUCGGAGAGCCACCUGGACUCCGUCGGAAGACUUUAGGAUCCCAAGGCAGAUGCAGCUGAUGAGCUAAGGGAGCUGCUUCAGCAGUUCACUUGGUGGGAAAAUGAGAUGUAGUGCGCUUGGCUUGCUACCAAACAUUUGCUGUACCAAAGAGCGAGGGGUCACUGCAAUCAAAGAGUGGUGGCUGCAUAUGAGAGAGCCUCUUAUGUUUACUUCAUUUUUAUCGCUCAGAUGUAUUUCGAAUCUUAACAGGGAGCCAGAUGAAGCCGGAUGCAUACCGUAAUAGCAUGGAAUAGGUCCAUAGCGAUGUUUGUUAUCCCCCUUGUUUUACUGUCGCACUGACUUUGGCUAAUAGAUUUUUUUUUUCAGUUCGUUCUGUGUAAACAGUCUUUAACUUCAGCCAGAUAAAGAGUAUUCCAGUAAGGGCCACCUAGAAUGAUCAAAACUUGUGGCAAACAAAGGACAAAAGUGUUAGCUGUAGUCUCAGUGCUGGUAAUGCAGAGUCAGAGCGGGGUGAAUUGAAGUGAGACUGACUUGCCUUCAAGAAUCGAUGGCGUUCUGUUUAUUCGUGAUUAAUAUAUACUCAGUAGAUGGAAAAAAAAUCCAUACAGUGGAAGGAUAAUGGAGUAGAAGUAUCUUACGUUGAAGUCCAGGUUUGAGCAAAUCAUGUGUGCUUCAGAAAUGUCAAAAUACAACAUUCAUUUUCACGUGCAGUUUGUACAGGUGGCAUAAUACAAAUCUGUUGCCAGUCUGAAGGACGAGGAUAAGAUUCAUACCUUUGGCCAUUCGUUUCCUUCUUGCUUCAAGAUGGGUUAUUUAAAGGAGAAGCAACACAUUGAAGCGAUUACAAUUACUUUCAGCAAAUUACUGUAGAGUAUAAUCAAGCUUCUUUUAAAACUGUUUGCAGUCUGUGUACUCUUAAGAGUGAGCAGACUGGUGGGAACUGCCAUUCUCCUCUUGAGAUGGGACUGGUUCCUCUUGGGGAAUGGAGGGGUGUGAGCAGAGCUCCUUGGGUGCGUGUGGUGGGGUGGGUGGUGCUGGGCGUCACUGGGGAACAGACGCUGUCAACCUUGCACAUUUACUUCUUGUAUGCAGAAAUAUUGGGAAUCCAGCCUGGCUUGGUUUAGGGUGUUAAACUUCCAUAGCCAGCUUGCUUGGCGUAGUCACUGCGUUUCCUAGUGCUGUGAAGAGGCACCUCCUGACCUUUCUUAGCCUGCAUUUUUGUGCUGUAGCUGCCAGGACUUGCUCCAAGGAGCUCAGGACUGACCCUCAUGAUUUCCCUGUAGUCAACUGACUUUUAACAUAUACUGUAGCACUUAAAAGGAGCAUGUGACCCCUUAUUAUUUGUGACCCUGCGAACCAUUGUGUAAUCUGUUGACUGUAACGUACCAUGCCAAUUUAUUCUUGGUUGGGAAGCCUUGCCAAGGACUUGAUGGAAUAGCAUGAUUUUAUCCACUUUAUUGUUUUCAUUGUGUUUCAUAAACAUCUAAGACCCUCUGGGAAGAAUCACUGGGGCGGCUGGGCCUCCUUUUUUUAAUUGCUGGUUAAAUAAAUGUUGCCAGUUUAAAAAGGGGAAAAAAAAAAAGUGGUAUGCAGGAUUUCAGAAUGCCUGGAACUGCUAAACAUUCAUGUUUAGGAAGCAGAACUAUUUUUAGUGUAGGGGCAGUUAAAGGAAUGGUACUCACCCCCUGUGAAGAGGUCACUGCUAAGAGUGCUGAAGAGCCUGCUUUCAGCUGGUGAGCAAAACCGAGUUUCCCACAGCUCAGUAGAGCUGAAGAACCAGAUUUGUACUUUUCCCACUUAGAUAAACAGGGAGGACGGACUUCUUGUUAGUUUACAGUAGUGGGAGUGAGGAGGCUUGGGUUCUUACUUUGUACACGUAUAAAAUAUGUCUUGGUCUUGGGGAGAUGUUUAGCUUUCUUAUUCUUUCAACCAAUGUCUACGGUGGAGGUGUGGGAAUGAAAGGCUUCUCGCUUUCUGAGAAGGUCUGGGAACUGGCAGCUGAGCCUACUGUGUGUUAACAACUCUCUUGAAUGCAUCCCUGGCUACCAUCUUCAUCUACAGCUAAGUGAGCUGGGGUUAGAAAAAAGUAUGUAUGCUUGAGAAUUUGAGUCAAUUUGGGAUCCUCAGUCAAUUCUGAGUAUAGCACCGUGGUUGCCAAAUAAAUUACUUUGGGUCCAUUGCAGAUUUUCCUCAGCUCCUCUGCCCGGAAAACAGAAGCCCUUGCUUUUCAUGGUUUAAAAGAGUGUGGUAUAUGUCAAAGUUUCUAUGUGUGCUAGAUCCUUUGUGUCAUGUAUGGUGUGUUUUGAGCAACCUAGGCAGGGUGAAGUGUAACCUGGUCUCUCCCAGGGUAGUGGACCAAAAUCUGGACUGUUCAGACUUUCAACAUGUGCCAAAUGAUAGCUGAGUCAAGUCAGGUUGCAGUGACGACUUCACUGAUUUCUUGUUUAACAUAGGUUCAAUCCAGAUUGCAAAUUAUUUAUUUGUUUGCUUGUUUCCCCCUCCUUUAACGUUGAAUGCCAUGUGUGUUAAUUUGCCCUCCAUGAGCAACUGCUGCUUUCCAGAUUUUUCGGCCCGCAGUUGAGAUUUAGUUGGCAGUGCAGAUGGAGAAGAGUUUGGGGAACCGAAUCCAAAUAUUUGCAUUCUUGAUUUGGCCUAGUCUUUAUGCUUGUAAACACUGACGGUCACACUGAACUUUGGUGAGGUUAUAAGUGGCUUCGUCAGGCUUUGGGGAGUCACACCCUGCAAGACCUGAGAUUUCAUCUCUUAGGAAGAGUUUUGGAUAUGUUUUUCAGGUGUAUACCUCAGCUGAGUGUUAGUGUUUGUCACUCUUGAUCCGACUGCAAAAUCCUUUCCUGCGCCUUCCUUUCUUUCUUUUUCUUCUUUAUUUUUCCUCUUUUUUCUUUUCUUUUUUUUCCUAGUGAGAUUCAUCAAGUUCAAAAUGUCAUGGAAGAGCUGUUCUGCCUGCACAGAAGGUAUGGCACAGUCUUUGGAAAUCCUUGUCUGCUGUACUGCUCCAGAACUCUGACCCAAUGGAGUGGAGCCAUGGUGGAGACCCUCCUCCCUCCAUGGUUACCAUUUUCCUGGUCCUUACUCCUUGGGUGGGCACAAAAAGAGUUGGAGGCUUGAUGUGAAAUGAGGAUGUUUGCUUGUGGAGAACUGGACUUAAGCCCUCUUUUCAUUCAUGUAGGCUUUGGUGGCCCUGCUUGUGGCGGGGGGGGUUGGAGACUCAUGAUCCUUGAGGUCCCUUCCAACCCACAUAUCUGUGAUCCUGUGAUAGGCUAUGCAUAUGAACAGCUGUGGCUUCAGUAGAAACUUGGUAAUCACCAAGUCUUUAAGUUUUGUUCUGCAUUAGCAAUUGAAUGAUCCACCUUACCACACACCUGAGAGUUAGGGAUCAAAUGGGCAAUGCUUCAUGGCCAACUCAUCCUAUUGCUUGGGAAUGCCUUUCAACUUGGGUUUGACAUUUGAAAUGAUAGCUCUGUAGUGGAAAGCCUGAGACUGUAGAUGUGACUCAGUUGCACUGGGUUACGGUAAGAGUUCCUGCUCAUCAGUUGAGGUCCAUAACUUUAUAUCCUUAGCCAACCUGGUUUUGAUGGAGGUUGCAUAAGUUUAAUCCACAGUGAACAUGUUUAGAGCAAUCCUCUACCUGGAGUGUUUGCAUGGGUCAUUAGAACUGUUUAGGUAAAUGGAUGCUAAUUCAUACCAUCAGUGUUUUUUUUAUACGUAUUGCUGUAUGCUUCUAACCUUGGAGAUGUAUUUGUUAGGGGUUGAGGAGAAGAGGAUAAGAGGAGAUGUUCAUUUUAACACUACCUUUGAAGAAGUGUUUGUUUGAGCUGUAUCCUUCUGCUGAAAACCUGUCAUCCACAGCAGUGCAGCUGAGAUUUCAGGGAGUUUGUGCAAAUGGAAAAGUCCCUAAAGACACACUGAAAGCACAGGGAGUUUUUGUCAGAAGCGUACCCUGUGUUCACACGCAUAGGAACAGGAUGUAGCUUUGACUUAAGUAUAUCAGCCUCCUAAUUUCUCUUUAAAAUGAAGCUGUGGAAGUGCUUGAUGUAUGAACAUUUAGAGUUAGUGCUGGUGCCAACACAGGAAACUAGGUCUUUGAGCUGCAACAUUUAGCAUUAUUUCCUAACUCCGAUGUCAUUAAAAACGCUCACUGUAUAAAGUUCUAAUACUGUUAUUCAUUUAAUUGUUUUGACAGGGUCAUCACACUAAGUUAAUGCUUUACAUUCCGCUCCUCCCCCUUAAAAAAAGGGGAUUAUUUGUCUUCAUGCAACAUCCAGUCUGGAUUGCAGGGAACAGAUGCUAACCCAGCAGCAUGAUGCCAAGGUCCCUGCUUGGCCUGCUGUAAGUACUGGUGCAGAGACUAAAGUGCUUUAGGAGAGCUCUCUGGCAGAUCUCACAGCCUUUUUCAGUGGGGAGCAGAUGUUUCAGACAUGGACUUUUCUUUUUGUUCUGAGAUCUCCUUCAAGUCAGGAGAUAGAUCUGCCUCUUUGACAUUUUUGCUUUCAGCAAUGUUACUGCUUGGAGGGAGUACAGACAGUUUUUGCAGGCCAGAAUGAAACAAAUGAGGUUUGAAUGAUGCUGAUACUUUGUCCUGGUGGAAACUGUUAUCACUCAAGGUCACUGGAAGGGGAAAUAUAUCCGGCCCCAUGUCAUGUUGCACUCUGAGUGGGCACAGUGUGCUAAUGAAAAGUGGAGAUUAUUGACUCAGUGAGUAGGAAAGUGCUUCUCUCACUUGUGCUACAAGAUCUCAAUGGUCGGAGUUUCCAGUAUGCCUCACCUCUUAAUCCUCUCCAGGCUUACAAGCUCCCCUUAGCCAGUGUUGUUUAAAUGAGCUUCGUUAACUGGGAAUGUUGUUUUGAAGGUAAGGCAGAUCAGCGGAGUGUAAAAGCUUGCCAGAAUCACCUGUGUGGUGGCAGGCUGUGAGCAGUUCCACUGUUACUCUGCAAACUGGGGAGCAGUUCCACACCACUGCUCGUGUUCUGCUGCCUGCUGUAUCCCUGCCAAAUGAUUAACCUUAGUCUUUGAGCAGAAAAUCCCCCCAUUUCGCCCAGACUGUGUUAGAAAUGGCUGGCUUGGGAAAGGAGUGAGGUCACAGCAGGAAAGGAAAGAAGGGGAUCAAAAAGAAAAGAGGCCUAAGACAAGUCUGAAACACUCCACAGGCUGACUGCAAGUAUUACAUAACGAUUUAUAAAUUGUUCAGUACUUUGUGGAUACAAUUCAUGCACCAUUAGGUUUGACUGUAUGUUCUUCUGUUGCUAUUUGAUGGAUGUAUCUAUUGCCAGAGUAAAAAUCCUGAACGACUUAAUUGUAAUGUUUAAAAAAAAUCAUGCAGGGAGUGAUUCCAUAAAUGAGCACUUCUCUAAUUUGCUGUGCUCUCAUCUCUGGUUUCAUGCUUAAUUCCCAGUUAGACCAGAUCAAAAGGCACUAACAAGAUGGUUGCUCUGGCUUAGCAUGGAUGGCUGAAGAGAGCCAUUACUCUGUACCCCAUUGCUUAGGAAAUAAGGGACACUGAGCGCUGGUUGAGUGCACACACACUGCGCGGGUGCCUGUUCCCUGUUGCAUGAAACCAGAGGAUUCUUUUGUUUGUUGCUGUGCAUGUAAGGAGCCACUCAUUUAAUACUUGGGACAAGUACAAGGCAUGCUACUGCUUCAGCCUUUUGCUGCCUGCCCUGUUGAGACAGCAUUUCUCUGCUGUGAGUUUUUUGCCUGCUUAGUAGCUCUUUGCUGUUUGUUUGUUGUUCAUAAUAGUCUGGCCUGCUUCUUUGGAAACUGUCUUUCUGCUUCACUUGCAAGGUCUGGAUAGCUUCUCUUGUUGCUCUGCUCUGAGGGAGCUGCUCCAACUUCUGUUCCUCUAUCCCCAGGACACGUAGAAGUUAAGACCUCGCAUGGCACAGUUCCCUGCUUGAAUAGGAAGUCUAUGGCUACACCUGGGCUGCCAUAGCUGCCCUUAGCUGGUCUUGUUUGACAACAACUUGGAAGCAGGAACCUUUGAGGCUUUUGCUGCUAUAGUAGCAAAGCAGCCAGUAGAAUAAUUGCUCUUUCUCCCUGGAGACAUCCCCAGGCCUGGGAAGCAAAGGGAGAUAUCACUGCCAGGUGACAGAGCUAUCUUAUCCAGUGCCACAGUGAGCUGGGCGCUAUUCUUCAUUGGACUGCCCUUCUUUUCAUAAACUUGUGGCCAUUUUGCACACAACUAAAGCUUCAUUUAAAGCCUUGUGCUUCAGGGAGGCUUGCCUGCCAACUCCCAGGAAAGCAUUUGUCAUUUCUUUCUCUCUUGGUUUUCUUAAUGUGUUUCUUAUUUUUCCUUUAAGUCCUUGAUCCUCCCUCUCAAAGCACUCUAAACCUAGCAGCCAGGCUUUAAUGAGCUGUGUGUGUCACACUCUCUAGUUGUGCUGCCACUGCAUCUAGGCUGCGUAUGGUUGUGUGAUCUAGAUUUUAUGGAUCACAUUUUAACUUUUUGUUUGGGGUUCGUUGGGACCUACAAAGAGGAUAAAUGGUAACAGGAAGAUUCUUCAGUUUGCUAUGAGCAUUGGGAUGUCUCGUUCAUCAUCAAUGAUUCCCUGACAUCAGCUAUUUGAGCUGCAAGCCCUCAGUUGGUGACAUAUUCCUCUUCCUGACUGGUUCUGAUGUUCAGGUUUGUAUUUACAAGAACGCCAAGAGAGAUGUCACUGUGCUUUGAACUCUAAUGCCAGCAUCACAUGAGAUGUGACCAAGAUUCAGCUUUAGUUCUGUCUUUGUUUGCUAUUGAGUUCUCUCCCACUCAGGCAGUUAUCUUUGAGUUGAAGAAACUAAAAGAGAAGUUGAUGAAUGCGGAGUUAAGAUGAUACUUCCCAAAUGAAACAGUGCCAAUAACUUUUCAGAGAGAGAGAGAGCAACAGUGGAGGGUAAAAAGUUAUGAGAAGAAAACCAUUUGUUUUUCAUCCAUCCAUUUCCAUGAGAGUAGAUUGUUCCCUGGCACGGAGACAGGAUAUAUGGUUGAGGGGAAAUGACUGUCUCAUCUUUUCAGUUAGGUGGAUCACUGUAUAUUGUGGUAUAUCUGCCAACAGAAAUAGUGAAGAGGAUGGUACCUAGCAUCAAAGCAUAGCAUCUAAGAUAGAGGGAAGAAUUUACUUGCUGCCAUGGGUUAAAAAGACUCUUUUGACUUUUUUUUUUUGGAAGAUCAAUAUUUCAAUCCCUUGUCAUUAUUAUUAUUUUUUAGCAGAAAGUUUAAUAACGCACAGUGUAUAAGAUAAAGCAGACUGUAAUUUUUGGCAUUCAAGUGUCUAACCAGAACUACUAUGGGUAGACUGAGAUGUGAUGGAAAAAAGAAUCUGGCCUGUUCUUAAAUUUUGAGAGAUGAUAGAGGUUUCUGCCCCCUAAAAGUGGAUCUGAGCUCUGAAGUAUGCUGCAUAAAUACAAUAAUUAAAUGCAGUGACAUAUUCAUGCGAGAAAUUAAAAUAUAUGAUGAAUUUCAAGGGGCAUACACAUUAACGAGCCUACAGAUAAUGAAUAAAACAGCAGGAAUCCAGUCCUGGAUAGUUUAAUGCUUUGUCUUGGAUCAAAACUUCCUUUUCCCUUUCCCUUAUGCUGUGCAGCAGGACAGGUUGGCAACCACAUCUUUUUGUCCAGCCCAGAUAAACAUGUAGUCACAAGGUUAGCUGGGGUGGAGACCGCACAAAGCAGUGUGAUGUGGACUAGGUGAGUUAUCCCAGCAUGUAGGCACUGUCUACUCAACCCUUAAUUGCCUGGCACCUUAUUUUUGGCUGUGGCUUUUCAGAUUGUUUCUGAGACCAGGCCUUUCCCCCCAACCCCCUUCCUCUUAGUUAGCUGAAAAGUAAAAGGCAAGAAUGUGUCAGUUGUUUUGAAGGAAAUGUUUUUAUAGAAGCUUAGCAUGACACUAAAUGUCAGUAUGACACUUUUUUUUAUCCAAGACUCGUUGACAUACACAGGAUAUAUAUUUUUUAAUACGCAAGAAAGGGACUCACCUCCACAACUUCUACAAUCUGGAUGCAGACAUCCAACGCUCGGCCCUAAUGAGGAUACGUUAUCUUCAUCUCUAGGAUUUUGCACGUGCAUUUUAAUUGGUGUUACAGGGACUUCAGAAGCAAAUGGAGAUCAGUGGUUUUUGGAGUAUGACAAGUGACUUACAAACAACAGCAAAAUGACAAUCAGAAGCUGAGUUCAGGCACAAUUUAAAAUGGCAAAAAGAUGAUGAGGUGGCACAUUCCAUUUAUGCAAUGCAUGCAUCUUUUAAAGAUGUGACGUAGCAUCUUUACUUGUAAAUCUUAAAGCACCUCACAGUGUUAAUGAAUAGAAGAUUCUACUUAACUGGUAGGAGAGGAAAGUGCAAAUGCAGAUGAGAAAGUUCAGGAAAGUAAUCCUGGAAACAGAUACAACCUUUUAUUUUUGAUUUCAGUUUAAGGAAAAUCAGAAAUAUACUGUGAGGGGAAUUAUUUUCUUUCAUCAUGAACUGAAAGUACCUACCCAGAAUAGUGCCUUUUAGCUGGCAAUACUGCUGCUGCCCUUCAGUGCUUGGAAAUACCCGAAUACUUGUUUUCAGCCAGAAAGUAAUGUGACUUAAUUUCAAGAUUUGUAUGAUUAGGUGAUAAGAUUAACAGAACAGUUUACACUCUUAAUAUUGUUUCUUAACUACUAAAUCUCAGAUAUAUAAUAAUGGGCUAAAUUAUAUAUAGAAAUAUAUUAAUAGUCUUUUUUUCUUGAACGUGUGAGUUCUUCUGUAUCUUUUUAUAUUUGAUAUUUUGGGACUUAAUCAUAGCCAUUCUCUCUGGUGAAAAAUCAGCAGUUGUUUUGUACCUACUACUCCCACCUCCAUUUAUAAAGUUAGGCCAAGAAGUAAAGAUGCACUUGUAGAUGUCAGCAUGCAGCCCAGGUUUACCUCCUAUGUACCUUUAUUAUCAUUCAAAAGAUAAUAACGUGUCCAAGCAGCAUUUUCUGUACUAAACUAGGUGUAAACUCCUUUGUAUUGGUGUAAACAAAAGUUAACUUUAACGCACAAGUUAACAUGCAGGUGUUUAGGGUAUCUCUGUAAUUCAUUCUGACCAGGGUGCUGGGAGAUAAAGAUUCCAUCUUCACUCUCUCCUAUUGUUAGUUAUGAAUUCUCGUCUCUCUGCAAAGCCUUAACUGGGCUGGUUUCAAACGGAUGAAGAAAUGCUUGGGCUUUUUGUACAACCCUGCUGACAUUUUCUAAGUCUCUUAUGAGAGUUAUAUGUUCAUUUUCCAUUAAGGUCAGCUUGAACCAGAUACAGAAGUUCUCAGUGUGGAUUGGGCCUAAUUGAUUAACAACAAAACAUCCAUGUUUUUCUUAAAGAGAGCUCAGGAUCUUCACAUUAGGAGAUAUGAUCAAGUACUGCAAGCAAAGCUCAGCAACUUAUUGUUUCAGUAUUUUCCUUGUGUUAAAGUUACUUACCCAUUUAUACGUGCCUGUGUAUGUCUACUAAAACAGAAAAAUACCUCUUUCUUACCAAUUUCACUCCUAAAUGUCUGCUUUCCUUUUGUUCUCAUACUCAUUCAGAAAAGAACAUCUUUAUUCUGUAAUGUCAGUAUUGUUAUAUUCUUCUCUCUUCAAUUUUUAUCUACUCUGGGAAUAACCACCCAUCCUUCCUCAGAAGAGAAUCUUGAUUCUAUGACUUCUUUUCCAGGUGUGCCUACUAUCAAGUACAAUGUCUGUAGAAAGAUAUCAACCCUGGUAAGGAGAUACUAGGUUGUGACUCUUGUAUUCUAUGACCCGCUUUGUUAUUGGCUCACUGGGAGACUUAGUGAGUCAAUUACCUGUAACCUCAGGAUGUCUGUGAUUUUGUAGAGGUAACUGAUGUCACUCCACAUAUUCCUGAGAUCUGCACGUGAAAGGAGCAAAAGUUCCUAAAUGCUCAUAGAAAGCUACUUUCUCUGAGAUGUACCCUUUCAGUCUGUUGCAUUCCAGUUUUGGGCCCCUCGAUGUAAGACAGACAUUAAGGCCCUGGAGCAUGUCCAGAGGAGGGCAACAAAGCUGGUGAGGGGUCUGGAGCACAGGCCUUAUGAGGAGCGGCUGAAGGAGCUGGGAUUGUUCAGUCUAGAGAAGAGGAGGCUCAGGGGAGACCUUAUUGCUCUCUAUAACUACCUGAAGGGAGGUUGUAGUGUGCUGGGGAUCGGCCUGUUCUCUCGGGUGACUAGUGAUAGGACUAGAGGGAAUGGCUUCAAGCUGCGCCAGGGAAGAUUCAGGCUGGAUGUUAGGAAAUACUACUUCUCUGAAAGGGUGGUCAGGCACUGGAAUGGGCUGCCCAGAGAGGUGAUGGAGUCACUGACCCUGGUGGUGUUCAAAGAGCGUUUGGAUGUUGUGUUGAGAGACAUGGUUUAGCGAGAACCAUUGGUGAAGGGCAAAUGGUUGGACUGGAUGAUCCUGUGGGUCUUUUCCAACCUUAGCGAUUCCAUGAUUCUAUGAUUUCUUUCCUAACCUGAAAAAGGUGUGAUGGCCUGAAAUAGCACUCCAAAGGCUGAUGGCAGUUCUACUGUAAAGCUGCAGUCAGCAGAAGAUUGAGCCUGAGGACUGCACGUGACUCAGGGAGCUCUGAACUUAGGAUGGCAGUGUUUGGUCUGCGCCGACACUUCUAGCCAAGCAAAGAAAAGGUGUUGACACUGGGAGGAGCUGCAACCAUGUGGCUCUGCCAGAUAUGAGGUGAAACCUUAAAGGAAAGGAAUAGCAACAACAUAUGACCCAGCAAAGAGUAUUGACGACUACUCCCUCAGAGUUUCUGGACCCUCCAAGUCACCUGCCAAUUCACUGGCUGCCAGCUUGGCACUGUUGUUAGAGCUCAAAGCACAUGGGCUUUAUAGGCCUAUUAAAGCAACACUACACAAGGGCACUGUUAUAUUAUUUUUGUGAUGCAGCAGAAGUUCUGACUUUUUCUCAUCACAUUUCUUAUUGCCUAGUAAUUGUAGCUUCUAUCAGGUUACGCUUUAAUUUAAAGAAAAGAGUAUGUUUAUAGUUAAUCAUGCUGUGUGAAUACCUUAUUUCACUUCUAUAGUAAAUGUGUAACAAAUCUGUUUGGCAGCUACCUAACAGGAAAUGGUGCAUUGGUCUCAUGUGCACAUUUACUGUGCUCUCAAGUUUUCAGGUUAAAUUAGAUUUUAGAUAAGUUUCUCUGGAAGAACCUUUCAAAUGAUGUUCUUUCUUUUUCACUCCCUUGGAUUCUGUUAGUUUUUUACAUAUGCCUCCUGUUUGACUUUCUAGAGUGACUUAAGUGCCUUUGAGGAAAUCUAUCCACAACAUUUGCAAAAUCCACUUUUUUUUUAUAGUGUAAAUGGGUUCCACUUGGGUCAAAUAUUUUUACCCACGUGGAUGAAAUACAGACGGAAGAAGAAAAAUGAGUAGGUAGUGGGAGCCUUAUUUACAUCCUCAACCAUGCUUUCAUUUCUGCAGUGGCUCUCUACUUAGGGUCAGUAGCACAGCCUUGAGCAGCUUCUCUGUUGUGAAGGGGAUGUGGGUUGGCAAAGUGAGCUAUUGGUUUUCUCCCCCAGUAAUUUUUCUGGCCCCUUUCUGCAUUCUUGUAGACAUUUCUACACAGGCUGGCAUGCAAACAUUUCACUGUGCUUCUUUCAGCAUCAUACUAGAUUUGUUGCUACUCUGGAAGUUCUCCUUUCUGUGUUAGCUAAACCGUGGUAGGCUAAACCAUCGUUUAAGCAAGAGGCCAGGCCUGGUGGCAGUUUUUAACUCAAAUGGAGGAAGAAGGUAUACUAGAGGGAUAGGGAACUUUGAAAGAGGUCUCAACUUGUGCAUUGUGAGACUGAAUGGGAGUGGUUUUAGUGCACCACUUGUUUUCCUCAGAGCUGUUCUCUGACCUGGGGCAAUCACUCCUGAAAAGUCUCCUUAGUUCAGACUGUUUGUGACCUGCCCCUACCCCCACAGCUGCUCCACCCUCAGGCGGUUUGGGCAUGCCUUUACACCAGGCCAAAUGCCAACUGCAUAUUUGGGACUAAAAUCCCAUCUGUUUUUUAAGCAAAAAAUAAAAAUAAUAAUAAUAAAAAAUCGGGACAAUGUGACUUUCAUUUAUUUUUUAUAAUGUUUGUUGUUCAAAAUGGGAGAAAAAGAAGUUUGAACUUUGAGCUGUAUGAAUGUUUGCAUUAUUUCAGCAAAAUGUGAGUGUCUGCAAACAGCACAAUAUUGUGUUUUUUUUUAGACAAGGAUAAUGAAGAAAUGGGGAAGAAAAAGCCACCCACAGCAAGAGAGUGAAAACGAAGUUAGAUCUUCUAAGGGUCUCUGCCUCCUGUUUGGAAAUCUGAUCCAUUCAUAGUUUCCUAUGCUUUGUUCAGUAGUAACACCAAAUGAACUGAAAAACAGAGAUGAACGUGCAUUCUUUCGUGGUUGCUACUUCAAAGAUUGGGGUUGAUAUAUCCCUCUUUUAGGCUGGGUGAUGCCCACUUGCCGUUCAGCUCAGAGCGCAGUCCUAUGUACCCGUAGUGGUUUGGGGUUCUGCUCCAUUUGUGCAGCAGGCUGUUCCUGGGGGAGCAGGAGGAGUGUGGCCUUAGAUGGAAUUUGUGAAUGACCACCUCCAGUGCUCUUCCUUACUGUCAGGCUGAACCUCAGUCUUUUUUGCUGUAUUGUUUGAGAGACUGGUAAAGGAAAGCACCCUUCUCACACAUUUUCUUACUUUGCUGUAUGCAAAAGAGCUAGAACAUUCCAGCCUGGUAGUGUUUUAACUUUUGCUUAAAAAAUGUGAAGCGGUGUGAAAUCUGGCUUUGAGUUAGGACUGGUGGGUUUGGCACAGCAAGAUGUGUGAUGUGAAACUAGUUUUUGUAAGGUCCUCUAAGACUUUCUGGCUAAAUAGUUUUUCAUGUGCUAAAAAGCACUGCUAAAGGCUGCCUGUGUGGGUAGGAGACCUCACAAGGGCAUGGUUAGUUCUUUGUUUCAGUGCAUGGCACCUGAACCCUGAAUUAAGAAGAUAUCUAUCAGCUGUCCAGCAAGCAGCUAAAGGUGCAGCCCUGUUGGAGACCGUGGUUUGCAGUCAGUGUGGAUCAGGUCUGGACUUAGUGACUGAACGCAUGUGCCUUUCUGCCUGUGGAGUUAGUGCAUCUCCUAGAUUUAAGCAAUAAUUCUUGCCGCAAGAAAAUGUAAUAGUGAUUGCCCUGCAACAUUAAAGCGUCAUUUAAAGAUAACAUGAGCUCAGGCCACCAGUGCUACAAAGCAAUUGUAAACAGUACAGAUUAGGUUAGCUCAUAAAUUAAACCAAAAAACCCCUCCUUUCCAUCCUUACCAGCCUCUACAGGGACUCGUUGCACACAACGCUUUUGACUCAUGCUGGAAGAUUACCAAAUUUGGAAACAUGGGCUAUUUGUGACCAAUUUGGCAUCGAGCACAGGGUACUAUUUAAAUUCUGGUUUGGUUAGCUACACUUUUGCCUCCACAAACUUCCCCUCCUGCUCUAAAUGGCUACAAUGAUAUUUUUUUCCCCUACUCCCUCUGUACUUGUGUGGCUUUUCAGUGUUAAAUGGAUGUUUUGCUUUGCUCUGGAGACAGCUGUAUUUCAGCAGUAGAUGAAGCCAUUUGUGUCACAGCCACUUUUCACUACUUAUUUUACAAAGGUGUUGUAAGGCCCUUAGUUAUUAAUUGUAAAGACCUUGAAAUAUGAGGAAUAUCACAUGACAGCGGUGGUCGAGUCAAUGAAAGCGUCUGAAGUCUUCAGAUUGUAAUAGUGCAAGCAAUAACUCAUAGUUUCACUGCAGUGCUCUUUAUUGCUCCAAAGUGCUGUACAAAGCUAAUCAGAGCCAUCGAAACUUUUUGAUUAGAUGAAGCAUGGUUAAAAUAUUCUAUUUUGAUGAUGCUGAAAAUUUUGUGGAAUUAAGUUUAUGCCAGAAAAGUUUCUGAAGAGGUUGAAGUGGUAGAGAGGCCUAAAUGAAGCAGAAACAAACUCAGCAACUGCUUUUUUAUGGAUUUAGCAACAUGACCCUUAUUGUGUGUAGAGGAAAUGCUAAGUUACGGCUUGAAGCAGUGAUUGAACACCUGGUGGGAAGGCAGGGCCAACCCAGGGGAGCUCAGGUGUAUGCAAUGUACCUGAGUGACUGGAAGGGGUGGAGCCAGGAUCCACCCCUUCCAGACAUCACUUAAGGGUCAGCAGUGGAGGUAAAGGUAUCUCUCUGGAGAUCCCUGUGUACCUCAGGCCUUCUGCAGGUAAGUAGCUUCUUUCCUUUGUUUCUGUACCUAUGGCUGUUGCAUUUGAGCAAAUCUUCACUGGUUGCAGCCGAGGACCUUGCUGCUCUGCAUUUUCCAUUGCGUUACAUUGUGUAACAUGAAGUUUUUUUGUUUCAUCCAAGCAUCAAUGACAAGCAAAGAAUGAAGCUCUGAGUGUUGUCCUGUCCUUGGAUAACUUUAGUCACUAUCUUCAUUUUGUAAAUUAAGAAAUAAAAGCUGCCUAUGCCAAGGAUAAAGCUAGAUUUCUAAGUUCUCUACGCAGCGCUAACUCUGCAAUACUUCAUUGUAGUUUAAUAAGGCUUUUGCUGUAGUACUUUUGCAUAAGCACUAUUGUUUUCUUUCAGGGAUUAAACUUACAGUUCCAAGCAAAGUCUAUAGGUAAAUAGCAGUGACAUUCUCUAAGACAAGGGAGAAUAAGAUUAAGGGUAGACCUAAAUGUUACUGUUUAAAUGAGAACAAAGCUUUAACCAUUUCACUGCUGCUGUACUGUAAAAGUUGCACUUUCUAGGAUUAUAAUAGGAGUUGAGCAGAGGCAUAACUAUAAUGAGUUUCCUCAGAUUAUUAAAAAACAAAAACAAAACAGACAGUGAAUUCCUGCCAUUUCUAAACCAAAGUAAGAAUAGUAUUUGCUAUGGCACUACAGAAUAAGUGUCAUGAAAGUAUUAAGAUACUGAUAUACCUGUAGCAGGGUGGAUUUCCUUUUGAAGUUUUUGAAAGGAACUGAUCCAACCAAGGAAGGUUGUGCUGCUCCAUUGUCUUCUUCUAUUUCAUUCCAAAAGGUGGUACUUACUCUGCAUCACUUCACUGUUUGUUGAGGGAAAAGUAGUUACUGCCUUCAAGUAAAAAAAGUCAUUCCUCUAACAAAUAGCGGAGCUCCAAUGCUCCAUUUAUUGUCUUGACAUUUUGUUUUAUCGUUCCAGUUUGCAGAGUAGUCUCCAGAGGUUUGUGAAGUAUGCAUGAGUAAGAGGGAGAAAUGCACUCCUAUUUUAUUUCAGGAACUUUGGGGAUUUUAGCUUGGAAACAGGCCUGGUUGUAUCUAGACCCAUCGUUCUCCCCAUUAGUGGCACUGGAAGGAGUCUAGGUGAUGUGACACACCCUUACAUCAUCUACUUUUCUUUGCAUUUUGCUGCUGUGCCAUGCUGUUUGCUAGCCAGGUCCGUGGUCUCUAUGGAAGUAUUUUCCAAUGGCUGACUUCUGUUACCGUUAUUCAUACUCCAGCAUUGCCUCCAUGUACCAAUUAGUAUUUGGUGCCUGAUUUCUUGGUCAUUCUACGCACGUUAAUAGAGUGUGGGGGAAGAAAUAACAAAAAUACCUUUUCCUUUGGACAACGGCUGCUAUAAAAACUGGACAAGUGGGGGAGAAAUACAUGUUAACCUUAAUUCAUGCAAAGUAUGCUAAAAAGCGGUCAAAUAUACAACCCCCUAACGAUUCUCAAAGGUUGCGGGGUGAUGGGACUCAAGCAUCAUGGCACUGAUCUUGGAAAAAUUAUAUACGGGAAUCCUCAACACAUAUGGGAGAUAACAUUUUUUUGUAUCCCAGAAUAUAAAUGAGAUGCUAACUUGAAUAGCUUUGUAGCAUGGAAUGUCUGUUUUUUUUUUUUUUUCCUUCCAUAGCUUAACAUAGUUCAGUGCUUCCCCUUCAUUUCCUCAUGCCUGAAGAAUGCAGACAAAUAGCUGAAAAAGGUUUGUCUUUAGUGCUGUUAGGUCAUUAAGGUUCUUGGCCAAAAAAGAUCCCUGACCUCCUUGGUCGGAGGAAACCACAUUAACAGCAAUAGUUUUAAGGAGUUUAUAGCUAGCGUGUCUCAGCUGUUGUGUAUGAGGCCUAUGGGGAUAGAGCCAAACCUGCUUCAGCUUUUUCUUAAUAAUUCUUAUCCUUGUGCCCAGUGAAAACCUUUUAUGUUUCAUUCCGUGGAAGGAUGAUACUUGCAGAAGAUGCAAAAAUGCAUUCUUCCUGCAUCUGUGUUUUCAUCUCCAGGUCUGCCAGUCUAGAUGCUGAUGGAAAUGUAAAAUGAAAUUUGUUCCCUGUGAUGAUUACUCUACAAAACUAGCUGAACUGAGGAGAGACUUGUGAAAGGAGAAUACUGGGUGACAUGAAAAUUGUGGUACAUCAGUAAUCCAGCUGUGAACGUUAUCUCCAUGUCAAAAAGAAUAUCUUUAACAGAGUAAUUCAAAGAAAGAUAAUGAACUAGUUUUGAAAGAAAUUAUCAAGGGCAAGGGGGAAAUCCAUACAUGCUUGCAGGGGAAAUGUAUAAAGCAGAUGAGGAAUUUUGCAUACUUUGGUAUAUGGCAAAGACAAUGUUGAGUAGAAUGGGUCCCUAUAACUUGACCUCAGUAAAAUGACCAGUGGAAAGAUGAGAAGAACUUGAAAUGAUGCUCUUAUUCAGAGCUGUAGUGAUAGGUAGAAUACUACUGGUAUCGUUAUCUAAAGUGUGACUGUGGAAGACUGUUGGGAUGUGCUAUAUAGAGUGGGGAGAAGAGCAUUACAAAUGUCAUUAGUGAAAUUGAAUCUGAUAGCUGGUAUUCUACAAGCAAAAGCCAGAGGAGCUGGUAGCAAAUCUAUGGUAUUUAAAGGAUAUGCUUCAUUGAUCAGAACUAAGGGGAAAGGGAAAAAAUAACAAACAAAAAAAGAGAGAAAAGGCUUAGGACUUGUGCACUCCCAACAAGUGAUUUUUCCGCAUGCAGCUGUGUUAUUCUGACUGAAGCUGGAAAUAACUGUGUUCAUACCAGAGAGCUAUAUUUAUUUUGUUCAAUUUUUAUCUUGGUGAGUAUUUUGUAGUUACUCUCCAGCAGCUGAAAUACCUAUUAUGUCAGUGUUGCUGAGAAAAUGUGGUGACGUCAAGCAGUUUUUUGAGAGGUUGCCUAUCAAAAUCCUGGCAAUGGGAGAUCUGUUGGCCUUUCCAACUGAAGAAAUUCCUCUCCUUGAAGGAGCUGGCCAUCAUUCCUUGAGUGGAGUUGGCACUGAACUGUUUGCACCAGAAGUUUUUACCUUGCGAAUUUCAGUGCAAACUACUUUCAGCAACUUCAUAGAAUGGCUUGGGUUGGAAGGGACCUUAAAACCACUAGACCAGGCUGCCUAGGGACCUAUCCAGUCUUGCCUUGAAUGCCUCCAAGAACGGGUCAUCCACAGCUUCUUUGGAAGACUGAAAGGCAUUCCUGUUUUCUUCCCAGGCUAUGUGUGGUGCCAUGACUCUGAUGGGUGGUGCUUCACCCUUGUGGACUUGAAAUACUUUCAUUUUUCUAUUGGGGAGCAAUCAGCACAGCUUUUGGCUAUGCAGCUAAUGCCUCCAGCAAAGCUGCUCUGAAUUGGAGCUGCCCUGUGACCUUGCAGCACAAAUUAACCUUUUACGGAUGUAACUUGAGAGAGACUGUGUUUAACAGACACUGGGAAUGUUGUCAGGGAGGUAUCAGAGAGCUCCUGAAAAGCUAAUAAUUCAGUAAGAAUAAACAUCAAGAGCAAAAUCCCAAGAUCCUGGGUUACAGCCAGCAAAUCAGAAUUUCCGCAGGAAGCAAUAGAAAAUAUUGUAGAAUAUUCUGAAGGUACAGCAGGCUGCUUUUAGUAUUGCUGAUUAUCACGUGCUCCCAAAUAACAUGAGUUGUUUGAGAAGAAGUUGGCAUGUAAGCGUAUGCCUCAUCUCAUAGUCUUCCUCAUAGACGCUGUUGGUCUCUCGCUGAUCAUUUGGAGUUGUCUCUCUGUUCACAGCUCACUGGGUUUUGUGCCCAAGUCUUAUCUUAACCUUUGGGACCUGAAGCUUCUAACAUUGAAUGUGAUUGCAAGAGAGCCCUUAGGGGGAUAUUGUUGGGACCUUAAAAGCUAUUCUGUUUGUUUCCUUGUUUGUGGCACUACCAUUUGUAUACAGUCCUGUUCCAGGCUACUUCAGUUUGAUCUUCAAUGUGUAUGUCCCUGCUCCUCUGCUUGUGUUUGCUGCCAUGUUUUUGCUUUUGGCUUUGCUCUCUUCUGAAGAGCACUUUUGUCUUCACAUCCUCCCAUUUCAGUGUUUCAAGCACUUGCCCUAGAGGGUGGUGGUGGUGCUUUUUAAUACAGUGACUUAUUAUUUUAUUGAAUUAUUAUUAUUAUUUAAAUUAAGAGAGUACCUGAAUCUUGCUGCUCCAAUGGAAAAGCUCAUAGCAAAGCACUUGAUUUUGUUUCAGUAUGGAAGGUGGGCCAUGCAUGAACUGAGCCCUCAGCAGAAUUUCCUCUAAAACUGGAAAUCCUUUUCUGACACUGAGAAUCCUUUUGCUUUGUCCCUCUGGAGAAAACAAGCAGAAUACUCAAAGAGCAUGCAUCUUAGAUCUUAAUCUGUGCCACUGACAUCUGUUAUUUGAAAGCAUAGUGCUUCACCCUUUCUGGUAAAGAACCCAUGUGUAGGAAGUUGACAUAAUGUUUCUCGGAUGGUCAGUACCUGAUUACUUUCAGAUUAACACUAUCUCCUUGCAUCUGUUUUUGUUGUUCCUAGUCCCAGCGUUUCCUGUGUUGUAACCCUUGUGGGAAAGUUUACUUGUGUGACAGGCCCUGGCUAAUUUCACCAUGUCCAGAAAUCUAAAGAUUUAAGCUUUUGGAUUCCGAUCCAAAUCACCUACAUUCCCCUAUGGCGUCUGUUCUUUGCUGAGCAUUGCUUUUCUUUAUUAUGCUUUAGACUUCUUGAAUGUGCUAAGUAUUAUGUACAAGUAUCUGAAGAUCAGAAUAUCCUUUGGGGAAACUGAGUUUAGGUUCUGGAAGGAAACAGGUAGUGUUGGAUCUGAGUGGUGUAGACAGAAUUUGGAACCUGAAGGCUUCAUGAAGAAAACAUACAAGAUCUCUCUUCUUCCUCAGUAUUUCCUUACUGGAAACCAGGUUUGUUUGUAGGACUCCUAGGGCACCUGUCUGUGAUGUGGAGUGUAGUUUUUCUUUUAGUGAACUAGAUUUUAUCCUUCCAUUCUGAAAAGCAACGUUUGCUGUGCAGGCUAUGAAUCGCUGCAGAGGGACCCGUUCCUUUGUUUUUAAAGGUGUUGCUUCUUCAAUUGAUUGGCGAUUGAUUGAACAAGUAAAAGAUUGUUACUGGCAUAAGAUACUUAAUGAGAUAGGUGUUGUUUUUUUUUAUGUAGAUUUUGCAGGGGGAUACUCUAAAAGUAGAAUUUGGACUCUACACGUGCGUGUUACUGCCAAGCACAGGAAAGACCAAAGUGUACAAGUGCAAACUCACUGUAAGAGAUGUGCAUUUCACUGAUGUUCUGGGAGUUUCCCUAUCUGAAUUGGAAGACAGCAGAUAACAUGCAAUAUAUAUUUCUUCUUGAAAUGUAAAAUGGACUAUUGUGUUUUUUUAAUUUUGAAAUUAAACUGCAACUAAAUAUCAAAGUACGGUUUCAGUUUUGAGAUGAAAUCUCAAUGUUUUAUUUCAGAAAAUGUUGUAGAAAAAUGUCCUCUAUUAUUUACAAGCAAAAUAUUUCAGCAGUGAACAGAACGUUGAAAGCAAUGCAACUUGCUCCACUAUUCUUCUCCAUUUUAAUACUCAUAUAUCUAGAUCACCUAGUCCCCAUCUCUGCCAGAUAUUGGUGGCACUGUUAUUUUCAACAGCAUCUCUGAUUUCUGUAAGCUGAAACAGACAAUGGUGUGAGUUAUUUAGAAAACAAAGGGCUGUAUAUAAGCUAUUAUCUCUCCUGAAACUGAUUUUUCUCUAGAAACAGUAUCUUGGUUUUCUGAUAUCUCAUAUAGUAUAUGCCAACUGCGUAGCUGACUGUGAGCUUUAUACUGUUUUGAGAAACUGUAUUUGGAAGUUGAAUGCUUGAUUUCAGCUUGCUAUAAUGCCUCGCUUCUGGCUUGCAAUAGUUUUGUGCAUCCAUGUGUUAAUCUGCAGUCUGAAACAACUUCUGAAACUUCAUACAGUGCACCAGGUUAUUGGUGUCUUUCUUUAGCUGAAAGCAACAACCAGAAUUUCCAUCUCUCUAUCUAAGAAGAGGGGGGGGAAAAAGAAAAAAAUAUAUAGAAUAGAGCUGGACUCCAGUUUUGGCCAAUGUCUCUGGCCUGUGCCAAGCAGGCAGAGUAAUGUGAGGCUGAAGUGCUACCAAGGAUUGCCUUGCAUGCCUAUCCCUGCUGUGGGGAGGUUACAUGCUUGUCCUGCACCACUGGUGCUUCAGGUGUCAGCAACUCCAGGAGAAUCCUUUUGGGCCAUUAGGGCCAAUGCUUGGGAGGUGAGCGUAUCCCUUACAAACUACACAGCAUUUUGAACCUGUGGUUCUGCCUGUUGGAAAGCUGUUCCAAUUCUUCGCUGGUAUAUUGGUUAGAAAUAUUUUUCUAAUUUCCAGUCGGGGAUUUACUCACUACUAGCUUCUGCCUAAGUUGCUCUUGAGUCGACUGGGGGGAAAUGAACAUUGAGUGCAGUGAAUAAGGUGUGCCUUGCCAGUGUAUGGACAAAGCUGGCUGAGCAGUUUACUCUCCCAGCCUUCCAAUAUUAGCCUGGUGGACUCUAUAUUUGAAUAGAAAUAUUCAGCGUGGUUCUGGUGCUCUUUAAAUGGAAGAACAUGAAUCUGGUGAAGCCAAUAGAAAGGCCCAUGCUUGUUUUCAGUGGUUUCGAGAACUAAGCCUUACAACAUUUUCAGAGAGCUGGAGCCAGAUGUGUCUCUCACCCACAGUUUGGGCAAUGAACAUGUGUGCACAAGGCUGUUGUAAUUAUGAGAGAAUUCAAAGGGAGCUGUACACCCAACGAGAAAUAAUCAUAGGCUGAUCUGUGCCUCAACAGUGUACUUUCACACAUCCUCCAUCUGUAGCUUGGGGCCUCUCCAGAGAAGGGAACAUCAGAUGCGCCCUUCUCUCUCAGGAUUAUGAGAUGUACACAGAUGUUCCCUUGAGACUGGGACAAAGCCACCACAUCUGGGGGUGUUGUGUGUUUAUUUUGUAAGAGUCCUGAUCAGGCUGUUUAGGUCAAGAGCAUACAGCAGCUUGUUUGCUUGCAGUUUGAUCUGGAAGAAAGGCUUUUGGUAGCACGUGCUUUUGCAGUUGAGGGAUAUUGUUAGCGGGUGAAGUAUAGACAGCGCAUGGAGAUUUAGCUGGAAACUUACUACAGCAAUGGCUAAGAAGUGGGCUGCAAGUAGAACUAUAGAAAAGAAAGACAGUUCCUAAACACAGGAACCUACAGAGGGAAGACUGAUGCGUAGAUGAAUAUGUUGAUACUUGCUCUGAAAUGGUAACAGAAAGUUUUGGUAGUGUGAAACCUCACACACUAAGUUGGUGGAUCCCUUCUAAAUUAUUGAUAUUAAUCUCCUGGAAGUACCUUUUGUUUUCCGUUGGGGUAGGUAGGUUGUGGGAUCUGCAGAAUGUCUCAUAUCCUGAAUGCCCAUUUAUCACCCCUGGGAGACUACAGCUGUGUCAGCCUCUCAGGAUAGUGGCAGCAGCAGCCUGUGAGAAGUCAUUGCCAGCCUUCAGUCAGGAAGAGAAAGCUGUCAUUGAAACCAUGGUUGUCAGAUUUUUUUUUCACUCUUCACCCUUUAAGGACUGCCGUGUUGUAGUCCCCUUGCUGCUGUGUUUUGCUGGCAAGUGAAGCAGUUCAUGUUUGCUCUGUGUAUAAUUACUGUAAUUAAGAACAUUUAAAGAUAGAGCUAGGACUGUUUUGUCACAGUGUGCUCUUAUAGUAUGGCUUGGUGGGAGAUGGUGAGUGAUAAAUGCAGAAACAUAUCUUUUUUUACUCUUGCCAACUCCACCAGUUUUAUGGUGAUUUUUUUUAAUUCUAUAAGGCUUGUUUUCCUGGAGUUCAAUCACUAUCAGUGAAUCUUGGCCUUUUCUGUCUUUCAUACCAAGAGGAGAGCUU
rnacentral:lncRNA from 1 species